GUACACUCCUACGGGAGGCAGCAGUGGGGAAUUUUGGACAAUGGGCGAAAGCCUGAUCCAGCCAUGCCGCGUGCAGGAUGAAGGCCUUCGGGUUGUAAACUGCUUUUGUACGGAACGAAACGGCCUUUUCUAAUAAAGAGGGCUAAUGACGGUACCGUAAGAAUAAGCACCGGCUAACUACGUGCCAGCAGCCGCGGUAAUACGUAGGGUGCAAGCGUUAAUCGGAAUUACUGGGCGUAAAGCGUGCGCAGGCGGUUAUGUAAGACAGUUGUGAAAUCCCCGGGCUCAACCUGGGAACUGCAUCUGUGACUGCAUAGCUAGAGUACGGUAGAGGGGGAUGGAAUUCCGCGUGUAGCAGUGAAAUGCGUAGAUAUGCGGAGGAACACCGAUGGCGAAGGCAAUCCCCUGGACCUGUACUGACGCUCAUGCACGAAAGCGUGGGGAGCAAACAGGAUUAGAAACCCGUGUAGUCCC
rnacentral:rRNA from 1 species